rnacentral:rRNA from 1 species
UUUUAUGGAGAGUUUGAUCCUGGCUCAGGAUGAACGCUGGCGGCGUGCCUAAUACAUGCAAGUCGAGCGAACGGACGAGAAGCUUGCUUCUCUGAUGUUAGCGGCGGACGGGUGAGUAACACGUGGAUAACCUACCUAUAAGACUGGGAUAACU